rnacentral:rRNA from 1 species
AACGCGAAGAACCUUACCAGGGUUUGACAUGCCGGUAGUACCAACCUGAAAGGGAAGGGAGCCCGCAAGGGAAGCCGGCACAGGUGGUGCAUGGCUGUCGUCAGCUCGUGUCGUGAGAUGUUGGGUUAAGUCCCGCAACGAGCGCAACCCUCACCCUCUGUUGCCAUCGGGUCAUGCCGGGCACUCUGAGGGAACUGCCCCGGUCAACGGGGAGGAAGGCGGGGACGACGUCAAGUCAUCAUGCCCCUUACGCCCUGGGCUACACACGUGCUACAAUGGCCGGUACAGAGGGCUGCAAACCCGCGAGGGGGAGCUAAUCCCACAAAGCCGGUCUAAGUUCGGAUUGCAGGCUGCAACUCGCCUGCAUGAAGGAGGAAUCGCUAGUAAUCGCGCAUCAGCACGGCGCGGUGAAUACGUUCCCGGGCCUUGUACACACCG